rnacentral:rRNA from 1 species
GACGAACGCUGGCGGCGUGCCUAAUACAUGCAAGUUGAGCGAUGAAGAUUGGUGCUUGCACCAAUUUGAAGAGCAGCGAACGGGUGAGUAACGCGUGGGGAAUCUGCCUUUGAGCGGGGGACAACAUUUGGAAACGAAUGCUAAUACCGCAUAACAACUUUAAACAUAAGUUUUAAGUUUGAAAGAUGCAAUUGCAUCACUCAAAGAUGAUCCCGCGUUGUAUUAGCUAGUUGGUGAGGUAAAGGCUCACCAAGGCGAUGAUACAUAGCCGACCUGAGAGGGUGGUCGGCCACAUUGGGACUGAGACACGGCCCAAACUCCUACGGGAGGCAGCAGUAGGGAAUCUUCGGCAAUGGAAGAAAGUCUGACCGAGCAACGCCGCGUGAGUGAAGAAGGUUUUCGGAUCGUAAAACUCUGUUGGUAGAGAAGAACGUUGGUGAGAGUGGAAAGCUCAUCAAGUGACGGUAACUACCCAGAAAGGGACGGCUAACUACGUG